rnacentral:rRNA from 1 species
CCUACGGGUGGCAGCAGUGGGGAAUAUUGGGCAAUGGGCGCAAGCCUGACCCAGCAACGCCGCGUGAAGGAAGAAGGCUUUCGGGUUGUAAACUUCUUUUCUCAGGGACGAAGCAAGUGACGGUACCUGAGGAAUAAGCCACGGCUAACUACGUGACAGCAGCCGCGGUAAUACGUAGGUGGAAAGCGUUAUACGGAUUUACUGGGUGUAAAGGGCGUGUAGGCGGGGACGAAAGUCAGAUGUGAAAACCAUGGGCUCAACCUGUGGCCUGCAUUUGAUACUGUGUUUCUUGAGUACUGGAGAGGCAGGCGGAAUUCCUAGUGUAGCGGUGAAAUGCGUAGAUAUUAGGAGGAACACCAGUGGCGAAGGCGGUCUGCUGGACGGCAACUGACGCUGAGGUGCGAAAGCGUGGGGAGCAAACAGGAUUAGAUACCCCGGUAGUC